rfam:Stegodyphus mimosarum contig80563, whole genome shotgun sequence.
GCCUUUGUGGUGUAGUGGUCAGCACGCUGGACGCGUAUUCGAGAGGUCUGUGGUUAGAGUCCCGGAGAGGGCA